rnacentral:rRNA from 1 species
GACUGGGGAACUUGAGUGCAGAAGAGGAAAGUGGAAUUCCNCGUGUAGCGGUGAAAUGCGUAGAGAUGUGGAGGAACACCAGUGGCGAAGGCGAUCCGNAAGGGCUGUAACUGACACUGAGGCGAGAAAGCGUGGGGAGCGAACAGGAUUAGAUACCCUGGUAGUCCACGCCGUAAACGAUGAGUGCUAAGUGUUAGAGGGUUUCCGCCCUUUAGUGCUGCAGCUAACGCAUUAAGCACUCCGCCUGGGGAGUACGGCCGCAAGGCUGAAACUCAAAGGAAUUGACGGGGGCCCGCACAAGCGGUGGAGCAUGUGGUUUAAUUCNAAGCAACGCGAAGAACCUUACCAGGUCUUGACAUCCUCUGACAACCCUAGAGAUAGGGCUUUCCCCUUCGGGGGACAGAGUGACAGGUGGUGCAUGGUUGUCGUCAGCUCGUGUCGUGAGAUGUUGGGUUAAGUCCCGCAACGAGCGCAACCCUUGAUCUUAGUUGCCAGCAUUCAGUUGGGCACUCUAAUGUGACUGCCGGUGACAAAACCGGAGGAAGGUGG